GACGAACGCUGGCGGCGUGCUUAACACAUGCAAGUCGAGCGGUAAGGCCCUUUCGGGGGUACACGAGCGGCGAACGGGUGAGUAACACGUGGGUGACCUGCCCUCAGCUCUGGGAUAAGCCUGGGAAACCGGGUCUAAUACUGGAUAUGACUCCAUGACGCAUGUUGUGGGGUGGAAAGCCUUGUGCGGCUGAGGAUGGGCCCGCGGCCUAUCAGCUUGUUGGUGGGGUGANGGCCUACCAAGGCGACGACGGGUAGCCGGCCUGAGAGGGCGACCGGCCACACUGGGACUGAGACACGGCCCAGACUCCGUACGGGAGGCAGCAGGUGGGGAAUCUUGCGCAAGUGGGACGAAAGCCUGACGCAGCGACGCCGCGUGAGGGAUGACGG
rnacentral:rRNA from 1 species